CCACACCCACUCACAUUCGCACUCACACACACGUGAAUAUAGUACUCGCACACACACGCAUACACGUGCCCAGACCUACAGACACACUCACAUUUGCACAGUCACACGUGAAUAUAGUAUAUGCACACACACACUUAUGUGCGCAGACCCACAGACACACACAUUCACACUCUCACACAUGUGAAUAUAGUACAUGCACACACACACGCAUACACACUCGUGCCCAGACACACACACUCACACAUUCGCACACUCAGAGUGCCCCCCUCCCUCUCACAGGCCUUGUCCUGGGGACGAG
rnacentral:lncRNA from 1 species